rnacentral:tRNA from 1 species
GCAGAUGUGGUGGAACGGCAGACACGCUAUCUUGAGGGGGUAGUGAGAGAAUUCUCGUGCGGGUUCAAAUCCCGCCAUCUGCACCA